rnacentral:rRNA from 1 species
CAGUAGGGAAUCUUCCACAAUGGACACAAGUCUGAUGGAGCAACGCCGCGUGAGUGAAGAAGGUCUUCGGAUCGUAAAACUCUGUUGUUAGAGAAGAACACGAGUGAGAGUAACUGUUCAUUCGAUGACGGUAUCUAACCAGCAAGUCACGGCUAACUACGUGCCGG